CCUACGGGCGGCAGCAGUCGAGAAUCAUUCACAAUGGGGGAAACCCUGAUGGUGCGACGCCGCGUGGGGGAAUGAAGGUCUUCGGAUUGUAAACCCCUGUCAUGUGGGAGCAAAUUAAAAAGAUAGUACCACAAGAGGAAGAGACGGCUAACUCUGUGCCAGCAGCCGCGGUAAUACAGAGGUCUCAAGCGUUGUUCGGAAUCACUGGGCGUAAAGCGUGCGUAGGCUGUUUCGUAAGUCGUGUGUGAAAGGCGCGGGCUCAACCCGCGGACGGCACAUGAUACUGCGAGACUCGAGUAAUGGAGGGGGAACCGGAAGUCUCGGUGUAGCAGUGAAAUGCGGAGAUAGCGAGAGGAACACUCGUGGCGAAGGCGGGUUCCUGGACAUUAACUGACGCUGAGGCACGAAGGCCAGGGGAGCGAAAGGGAUUAGAUACCCGUGUAGUC
rnacentral:rRNA from 1 species